CCAUUAGAUGUUCGGGGCCGCACGCGCGCUACACUGAAGGAAUCAGCACGUCUUUCUCCUUGUCCGAAAGGACUGGGUAACCCGCUGAACCUCCUUCGUGCUAGGGAUUGGGGCUUGUAAUUCUUCCCCAUGAACGAGGAAUUCCCAGUAAGCGCGAGUCAUAAGCUCGCGUUGAUUACGUCCCUGCCCUUUGUACACACCGCCCGUCGCUACUACCGAUUGGAUGGUUUAGUGAGAUCCUCGGAUUGGUCCCGGAGCGGCCUCUGGUCGUGCCGGAGUGCCGAAAAGAAUGUCGAACUUGAUCAUCUAGAGGAAGUAAAAGUCGUAACA
rnacentral:rRNA from 1 species